CCUACGGGAGGCAGCAGUAAGGAAUAUUGGUCAAUGGACGCAAGUCUGAACCAGCCAUGCCGCGUGAAGGAUGAAGGCCCUCUGGGUUGUAAACUUCUUUUAUCUGGGAAGAAAUCCACUGUUUCCACGGUGGUUGACGGUACCAGAGGAAUAAGCACCGGCUAACUCCGUGCCAGCAGCCGCGGUAAUACGGAGGGUGCAAGCGUUAUCCGGAUUUACUGGGUUUAAAGGGUGCGUAGGCGGGCUUUUAAGUCAGCGGUGAAAUCUCCGGGCUUAACUCGGAAAUUGCCGUUGAUACUAUUAGUCUUGAAUUAAGUUGAGGUGGGCGGAAUAUGUCAUGUAGCGGUGAAAUGCUUAGAUAUGACAUAGAACACCGAUUGCGAAGGCAGCUCGCUAAACUUAUAUUGACGCUGAGGCACGAAAGCGUGGGGAUCAAACAGGAUUAGAAACCCUGGUAGUCCACGCCCUAAACGAUGAUUACUCGAUCUUAGCGAUACACAGUUAGGGUCUAUGCAAAAGCAUUAAGUAAUCCACCUGGGGAGUACGACCGCAAGGUUGAAACUCAAAGGAAUUGACGG
rnacentral:rRNA from 1 species